UUGACAUACUAAGAACUUCCAGAGAUGGAUUGGUGCCGUUCGGGAACUUAGAUACAGGUGCUGCAUGGCUGUCGUCAGCUCGUGUCGUGAGAUGUUGGGUUAAGUCCCGCAACGAGCGCAACCCUUUUCCUUAUUUGCCAGCGGGUUAAGCCGGGAACUUUAAGGAUACUGCCAGUGACAAACUGGAGGAAGGCGGGGACGACGUCAAGUCAUCAUGGCCCUUACGGCCAGGGCUACACACGUGCUACAAUGGUCGGUACAAAGGGUUGCUACCUCGCGAGAGGAUGCUAAUCUCAAAAAGCCGAUCGUAGUCCGGAUCGCAGUCUGCAACUCGACUGCGUGAAGUCGGAAUCGCUAGUAAUCGCGGAUCAGAAUGCCGCGGUGAAUACGUUCCCGGGCCUUGUACACACCGCCCGUCACACCAUGGGAGUUUGUUGCACCAGAAGUAGGUAGUCUAACCGCAAGGAGGACGCUUACCACGGUGUGGCCGAUGACUGGGGUGAAGUCGUAACAAGGUAAGCGUAGAUGA
rnacentral:rRNA from 1 species